rnacentral:lncRNA from 1 species
CAAGCCUUUCCGGGAAGUCCAAUUGCGCGACGGACGCUCCCGCCCCAGACGGCCAGCCGGGGACGACAGAUCCAGGUCUAUGCAGGUGUCCGCUAGCAACCCGUCCUCGUCAGUCUGCGUCCAGGGGGGAAAGCGCGAGUCUUUUACGAUUCCUGUCAAUUCCAUUUGCCCCGGCUACCGCUCACCGGGGAACCGUGCGGCUGUAUGCGCAUCUCCGACGUGUGCCACGUCCGAACCGUCGAGAGAGAGCGGGCCGAAACAGAGAAUGGAGAGACAGCCGCCUACGGAGAAGAGAGGCCCAGGCAACGAAAGUCGCUGCUCUGUGUUUCGAGGAGCGACCAAGUCCAUGCGUGUGCGUGCCGUGAGUAUCUGCGUGUCGCGGUCUGUCGACGCGUUUGUGGCGUGCGGACGAACGCUGUCGUCCCUGCGUGAAGAGUGGCCUGGUAUUACAAAUAGGCCGAGUGUGUCUAGGCGUGAUUUCGAUCUGUGUCGUGAGUGAAUCAGGAUUUGAGUCGAGGCAGGCGCGGACUUUCGUGUAGCUGCGGCGCACCUUGAGGUCGGGUGUACAGGCACCCCGCGAGGCAGCGGCGAGAAGGGUGGACAGUCUGGUGUUUGCGUUCACUGCGAAAGUUUCGACCGCAGUUCUGCUGUAGCGAGGUUGCAUGUCCCGUGUGUCCACGCAUUUUGUGUUUGUGUAGAGUCACGUGUUUCUGCAGCUGUCGAGCGUGCACGGCGCUCAACGGCGACCCAGACCGGUCUCUACACCCCUCUACUGUUGUUUUUGCGCCAGGUUCCACAGAGCCCUGUGGCUUCGAGACUGCGCAGCGGCAGAGCCGUGCGUGGCGUUGCAUGCACGCACGUGCUCCUCUUGACUUCCGCUGGUCACGCCUGCGUGUGUUGUUCAAACGACCCAGCAGCGCUCAGCUCCAUCGACGCACUGCGUCUUGUUCGCGUGUUCAGGCCUCGGGCUCCUCGGGCUUUGUCCCCAGAACUGAACGGCGAGGCC